rnacentral:rRNA from 1 species
GACGAACGCUGGCGGCGUGCUUAACACAUGCAAGUCGAACGGAAAGGCCCUGCUUGUGUGGGGUGCUCGAGUGGCGAACGGGUGAGUAACACGUGAGUAACCUGCCCUUGACUGUGGGAUAACUUCAGGAAACUGGGGCUAAUACCGGAUAGGAGCGCCUGCUGCAGGGUGGGGGUUGGAAAGUUUCGGCGGUUGGGGAUGGACUCGCGGCUAAUCAGCUUGUUGGGGGGGUAGUGGCUAACCAAGGCUUUGACGGGUAGCCGGCAUGGGAGGGUGACCGGCCACAUUGGGACUGAGAUACGGCCCAGACUCCUACGGGAGGCAGCAGUGGGGAAUAUUGCCCAAUGGGCGGAAGCCUGAUGCAGCAACGCCGCGUGCGGGAUGACGGCCUUCGGGUUGUAAACCGCUUUCGCCUGUGACGAAGCGUGAGUGACGGUAAUGGGUAAAGAAGCACCGGCUAACUACGUG